GUCACACUGGAACUGAGACACGGUCCAGACUCCUACGGGAGGCAGCAGUGGGGAAUAUUGCGCAAUGGGGGAAAGCCUGAUCCAGCAAUGCCGCGUGAGUGAUGAAGGCCUUAGGGUUGUAAAGCACUUUCAGUGGGGAGAAAGGUAAUUCACUUAAUACGUGAGUUAAUUGAUGUUACCCACAGAAGAAGCACCGGCUAACUCCGUGCCAGCAGCCGCGGUAAUACAGAAGGAUGCGAGCGUUAAUCGGAAUUACUGGGCGUAGCAAGCGUUAUCCGGAAUGAUUGGGCGUAAAGCGUCCGCAGGUGGCAGUUCAAGUCUGCUGUCAAAGACCGGGGCUUAACUUCGGAAAGGCAGUGGAAACUGAACAGCUAGAGUAUGGUAGGGGCAGAGGGAAUUCCUGGUGUAGCGGUGAAAUGCGCAGAUAUCGGAAAGAACACCAACGGCGAAAGCACUCUGCUGGGCCGACACUGACACUGAGAGACGAAAGCUAGGGGAGCGAAUGGGAUUAGAUACCCGGAUUAGAUACCCCAGUAGUCCUAGCCGUAAACGAUGGAUACUAGGCGCUGUGCGUAUCGACCCGUGCAGUGCCGUAGCUAACGCGUUAAGUAUCCCGCCUGGGGAGUACGUUCGCAAGAAUGAAACUCAAAGGAAUUGACGGGGGCCCGCACAUCUUGGAAUUGACGGGGGCCCGCACAAGCGGGUGGAGCAUGUGGUUUAAUUCGAUACAACGCGAAGAACCUUACCUGGGCUUGACAUGCACCGGACCGGGCCAGGAUGCAUUUUUCCUUUCGGGGACAGGGUCACAGGUGCUGCAUGGCCUGUCGUCAGCUCGUGCCGAAAAAUGUUGGGUUAAGUCCCGCAACGAGCGCAACCCUUGCCCUUAGUUGCCAUCGCGUAAUGGCGGGUUUAGUUGCCAUCGUUGAGUUUGGAACCCUGAACAGACUGCCGGUGAUAAGCCGGAGGAAGGGUGGGGAUGACGUCAAGUCCUCAUGGCCUUUUAUGUCCUGGGCGACACACGUGCUACAAUGGCCGGGACAAAGGGUCGCGAUCCCGCGAGGGUGAGCUAACCCCAAAAACCCGUCCUCAGUUCGGAUUGCAGGCUGCAACUCGCCCCAUGAAGUCGGAGUCGCUAGUAAUCGCGAUCAGAUGCCGGGUGAAUUCGUUCCCGGGCCUUGUACAC
rnacentral:rRNA from 1 species